rnacentral:rRNA from 1 species
GUAGUCCACACGGUAAACGAUGAAUACUCGCUGUUUGCGAUAUACGGCAAGCGGCCAAGCGAAAGCGUUAAGUAUUCCACCUGGGGAGUACGCCGGCAACGGUGAAACUCAAAGGAAUUGACGGGGGCCCGCACAAGCGGAGGAACAUGUGGUUUAAUUCGAUGAUACGCGAGGAACCUUACCCGGGCUUAAAUUGCACUCGAAUGAUCCGGAAACGGUUCAGCUAGCAAUAGCGAGUGUGAAGGUGCUGCAUGGUUGUCGUCAGCUCGUGCCGUGAGGUGUCGGCUUAAGUGCCAUAACGAGCGCAACCCUUGUUGUCAGUUACUAACAGGUGAUGCUGAGGACUCUGA